rnacentral:rRNA from 1 species
GUGGUAAGCUACUAAGGGCGUAGGGUGAAUGCCUUGGUGCCAAGAGGCGAUGAAGGACGUGGGCAAGCUGCGAAAAGCUACGGUGAGCCGCUGUCAGGCUUUGACCCGUAGAUAUCCGAAUGGGGAAACCCAGCCAGACCUCAAAUCUGGCUGCUGCUGGUUGAAUGUAUAGACCAGUCAGCGCGAUACCUGCUGAAUUGAAACAUCUUAGUAAGCAGAGGAAAAGAAAGCGAAUGCGAUUCCGUCAGUAGUGGCGAGCGAAAGCGGAACAGCCUAAACCAGGGAGCUUGCUCUCUGGGGUUGCGGGACCUUAAUGUGGGACCAAAGACGUUAGCCGAAUCCAUUUGGAAAAUGGAACCAAAGACCGUGAUAGUCGGGUAAGCGAAAACGUCAGAGGCCUUAGAGGUAUCCCAAGUAGCACGGGAUAAGUGGAACCCUGUGCGAAUCUACGCGAACCAUCGCGUAAGGCUAAAUACUCCUUGGCAACCGAUAGUGAACAAGUACCGCGAGGGAAAGGUGAAAAGCACCCCGAUAGGGGAGUGAAAUAGAACUGAAACCUUACGCCUACAAAGUGUCGGAGCCUCUUUAUGAGGUGACGGCCUGCCUUUUGCAUAAUGAGUCUGCGAGUUUAGGUUCGUGGCAAGCUUAAGGAUCUUCGAUCACUAGGCGAAGCGAAAGCGAGUGCCAAUAGCGCGACUAAGUCGCGGGCCUAAGACCCGAAGCGGAGGUGAUCUACUCAUGGCCAGGUUGAAGCUCCGGUAACACGGAGUGGAGGACCGAACUAGUGUACGUUGAAAAGUGCUUAGAUGAGCUGUGGGUAGGAGCGAAAGACUAAUCAAACCCUGCAAUAGCUGGUUCUUUCCGAAAUAGCUUUCGGGCUAGCGUCAGGUUAAGUACUCCGGAUGGUAGAGCACUGAAUGGCUUAGGGGUCCUACCAGACUACCAAAACCAAUCAAACUCCGAAUAUCCGGAUCCCAUUAUCCUGGCAGUCAGACUACGGGUGAUAAGAUUCGUGGUCGAGAGGGAAACAGCCCAGACCGUCGGCUAAGGUGCCUAAACUGGAUUAAGUGGAAAGGAUGUGAAAUCGCAUAGACAGUGAGGAUGUUGGCUUAGAGGCAGCCAUCAUUUAAACAAAGCGUAACAGCUGACUCAUCGAGCGAUUUCGCGCCGAAAAUGAUUGGCGAUUAAAUCCAGUACCGAAGCUACGGAUUUUGAUCGGUUACGACUGGUCAAUCUAGUAGGAAAGCGUCGUCCGUGCGCCGAAGCGUGACCGUAAGGGAGCGUGGAGCGCGGUCGAGUGAGAAUGCAGACAUGAGUAGCGAUAAACCAGGUGAGAAUCCUGGUCGCCGUAAACCUAAGGUUUCCUGGACAGUUUCGUCCUUCCAGGGUUAGCCGGGACCUAAGAUGAGGCCGAAGGGCGUAGUCGAUGGACAUCAGGUUAAUAAUCCUGAGCCGGCGGGAAGUUUAGUGGAAAGGGGACGUGGACCUGAUCGUGUUGCAAGAUAAUUGCAUUAUCUAGCCUAGGCUUCGGCCGAAGCGCACAACAAUAGGGGACACCUAGAAAAGCCUUUCCACGUAUAUAUCUCCCGUCGCCCGUACCGUAAACCGCCGCAGGUGGGUGGGUCGAGUAGACCAAGGCGCGCGAGAGAACCCUCUCUAAGGAACUUUGCAAUCUAGCCCCGUAACUUCGGGAGAAGGGGUGCCAGCUUCGGCUGGUCUCAGUAAAGUGGGUUUAGCGACUGUUUAACAAAAACACAGCUCUCUGCAAAGUCGUGAAGACGACGUAUAGGGGGUGACACGUGACCAAUGCGGAAAGAUCAAGGUAAGCUGUUAGCCGUAAGGCGACGCGGUGAGCCCAAGUCCCCGUGAAUGUCGGCCGUAACUAUAACGGUCCUAAGGUAGCGAAAUUCCUUGUCGGGUAAGUUCCGACCUGCACGAAUCGUGUAACGACUGAACCGCUGUCUCGGAGAGGAUCUCGGCGAAAUUGUAAUGGCGGUGAAGAUGCCGCCUGCCCGCAGUAGGACGGAAAGACCCUAUGCACCUUUACUGUAAGCUGGUAUUGUGUUCUGAUCUUCGAUGCGUAGAAUAGGUGGGAGCCUUUGAGGUAGCGAUUUCGGUUGCUACUGAGGCACCAGUGAAAUACCACUCUUUGCUGAUUAGGAUUCUAACCCCGAUUUCUGUUAGCCAGACGGGGGACAGUGCUUGCGGGUCAGUUUGACUGGGGCGGUUUCCUCCCAAAAAGUAACGGAGGAGUGCGAUGGUACUCUCAGCACGGUUGGCAAUCGUGCAUCGAGCGCAUGGGUAGAAGAGUGCUUAACUGUGAGACCAACAAGUCGAUCAGAUACGAAAGUAGGCCCAAGUGAUCCGGCGGUAGAAUGUGGAAUUGCCGUCGCUCAUCGGACAAAAGGUACGCUAGGGAUAACAGGCUUAUCGCGCCCAAGAGUUCAUAUCGACGGCGCGGUUUGGCACCUCGAUGUCGGCUCGUCACAUCCUGGGGCUGAAGAAGGUCCCAAGGGUUCGGCUGUUCGCCGAUUAAAGUGGCACGCGAGCUGGGUUCAGAACGUCGUGAGACAGUUCGGUCCUUAUCCACUGUGGGCGUUGGAAGCUUGAGGGGUUCAUUUCCUAGUACGAGAGGACCGGAAAUGACGCACCUCUGGUGUGGCAGUUGUUCUAGCAAGAGCAGCGCUGCGUAGCUAUGUGCGGAAGAGAUAAGCGCUGAAAGCAUCUAAGCGCCAAGCUCCUCCCAAGAUAAGGCUUCCCGGGCCGCAAGGCCCCAUGCCCCCAAGUAGACUACUUGGUUGAUAGGUCAGAAGUGUACGAGCCGUUAAGGCUUUGAGCUGACUGAUACUAAUGGGACAUGCAGCUUAUUACUAAAAC